rnacentral:rRNA from 1 species
UACAGAGGUCUCAAGCGUUGUUCGGAAUUAUUGGGCGUAAAGCGCGCGCAGGCGGUUUCUUAAGUCUGAUGUGAAAGCCCACGGCUCAACCGUGGAGGGUCAUUGGAAACUGGGGAACUUGAGUGCAGAAGAGAAGAGCGGAAUUCCACGUGUAGCGGUGAAAUGCGUAGAGAUGUGGAGGAACACCAGUGGCGAAGGCGGCUCUUUGGUCUGUAACUGACGCUGAGGCGCGAAAGCGUGGGGAGCAAACAGG